rnacentral:rRNA from 1 species
UACAGAGGUGGCAAGCGUUGUUCGGAAUUACUGGGCGUAAAGGGCGCGUAGGCGGCCCUCUAAGUCCCGUGUGAAAGCCCCCGGCUCAACCGGGGAACUGCACGGGAAACUGGAAGGCUUGAGUUCGGGAGAGGGAAGCGGAAUUCCGGGUGUAGCGGUGAAAUGCGUAGAUAUCUGGAGGAACACCGGUGGCGAAGGCGGCAUUCUGGACCGACAUUGACGCUGAGGAGCGAAAGCCAGGGGAGCAAACGGG